UACGUAGGGACCGAGCGUUGUCCGGAAUCAUUGGGCGUAAAGAGCUCGUAGGCGGCUUGUCACGUCGGUUGUGAAAGCCCGGGGCUUAACCCCGGGUCUGCAGUCGAUACGGGCAGGCUAGAGUGUGGUAGGGGAGAUCGGAAUUCCUGGUGUAGCGGUGAAAUGCGCAGAUAUCAGGAGGAACACCGGUGGCGAAGGCGGAUCUCUGGGCCAUUACUGACGCUGAGGAGCGAAAGCGUGGGGAGCGAACAGG
rnacentral:rRNA from 1 species